rnacentral:rRNA from 1 species
GCAUACCUACGGGAGGCAGCAGUGGGGAAUAUUGCACAAUGGGGGAAACCCUGAUGCAGCGACGCCGCGUGAGUGAAGAAGUAAUUCGUUAUGUAAAGCUCUAUCAGCAGGGAAGAAAAUGACGGUACCUGAGUAAGAAGCCCCGGCUAACUACGUGCCAGCAGCCGCGGUAAUACGUAGGGGGCAAGCGUUAUCCGGAUUUACUGGGUGUAAAGGGAGCGUAGACGGCAGUGCAAGUCAGAUGUGACAACCCGGGGCUCAACUCCGGGAGUGCAUUUGAAACUGUCCAGCUAGAGUGCAGGAGG